AAAGGAAUAGACGGGGGCCCGCACAAGCGGCGGAGCAUGUUGCUUAAUUCGACGCAACGCGAAGAACCUUACCAAGGUUUGACAUGCAGGGAAAAGCCGUGGAGACACGGUGUCCGUAAGGGCCCUGCACAGGUGGUGCAUGGCUGUCGUCAGCUCGUGUCGUGAGAUGUUGGGUUAAGUCCCGCAACGAGCGCAACCCUCGUCCUAUGUUGCCAGCGGGUAAUGCCGGGGACUCAUAGGAGACUGCCGGGGUCAACUCGGAGGAAGGUGGGGAUGAGGUCAAGUCAUCAUGCCCCUUAAGUCUUGGGCUGCAAACAUGCUACAAUGGCCGGUACAGAGGGCUGCGAAACCGCAAGGUGGAGCGAAUCUCAAAAAGCCGGUCUCAGUUCGGAUUGGGGUCUGCAACUCGACCCCAUGAAGUCGGAGUCGCUAGUAAUCGCAGAUCAGCAACGCUGCGGUGAAUACGUUCCCGGGCCUUGUACACACCGCCCGU
rnacentral:rRNA from 1 species